rnacentral:rRNA from 1 species
GACGAACGCUGGCGGCGUGCUUAACACAUGCAAGUCGAACGGAAAGGCCCUGCUUUUGUGGGGUGCUCGAGUGGCGAACGGGUGAGUAACACGUGAGUAACCUGCCCUUGACUUUGGGAUAACUUCAGGAAACUGGGGCUAAUACCGGAUAGGAUCUCCUGCUGCAUGGUGGGGGUUGGAAAGUUUCGGCGGUUGGGGAUGGACUCGCGGCUUAUCAGCUUGUUGGUGGGGUAGUGGCUUACCAAGGCUUUGACGGGUAGCCGGCCUGAGAGGGUGACCGGCCACAUUGGGACUGAGAUAAGGCACAGACUCCUACGGGAGGCAGCAGUGGGGAAUAUUGCACAAUGGGCGGAAGCCUGAUGCAGCAACGCCGCGUGCGGGAUGACGGCCUUCGGGUUGUAAACCGCUUUCGCCUGUGACGAAGCGUGAGUGACGGUAAUGGGUAAAGAAGCACCGGCUAACUACGUG